GCUGGCGGCGUGCUUAACACAUGCAAGUCGAACGGAAAGGCCCUGCUUUUGUGGGGUGCUCGAGUGGCGAACGGGUGAGUAACACGUGAGUAACCUGCCCUUGACUUUGGGAUAACUUCAGGAAACUGGGGCUAAUACCGGAUAGGAGCUCCUGCUGCAUGGUGGGGGUUGGAAAGUUUCGGCGGUUGGGGAUGGACUCGCGGCUUAUCAGCUUGUUGGUGGGGUAGUGGCUUACCAAGGCUUUGACGGGUAGCCGGCCUGAGAGGGUGACCGGCCACAUUGGGACUGAGAUACGGCCCAGACUCCUACGGGAGGCAGCAGUGGGGAAUAUUGCGCAAUGGGCGGAAGCCUGAUGCAGCAACGCCGCGUGCGGGAUGACGGCCUUCGGGUUGUAAACCGCUUUCGCCUGUGACGAAGCGUGAGUGACGGUAAUGGGUAAAGAAGCACCGGCUAACUACGUGCCAGCAGCCGCGGUGAUACGUAGGGUGCGAGCGUUGUCCGGAUUUAUUGGGCGUAAAGGGCUCGUAGGUGGUUGAUCGCGUCGGAAGUGUAAUCUUGGGGCUUAACCCUGAGCGUGCUUUCGAUACGGGUUGACUUGAGGAAGGUAGGGGAGAAUGGAAUUCCUGGUGGAGCGGUGGAAUGCGCAGAUAUCAGGAGGAACACCAGUGGCGAAGGCGGUUCUCUGGGCCUUUCCUGACGCUGAGGAGUGAAAGCGUGGGGAGCGAACAGGCUUAGAUACCCUGGUAGUCCACGCUGUAAACGGUGGGUACUAGGUGUGGGGUCCAUUCCACGGGUUCCGUGCCGUAGCUAACGCUUUAAGUACCCCGCCUGGGGAGUACGGCCGCAAGGCUAAAACUCAAAGGAAUUGACGGGGCCCCGCACAAGCGGCGGAGCAUGCGGAUUAAUUCGAUGCAACGCGUAGAACCUUACCUGGGUUUGACAUGGAUCGGGAGUGCUCAGAGAUGGGUGUGCCUCUUUUGGGGUCGGUUCACAGGUGGUGCAUGGCUGUCGUCAGCUCGUGUCGUGAGAUGUUGGGUUAAGUCCCGCAACGAGCGCAACCCUUGUUCACUGUUGCCAGCACGUUAUGGUGGGGACUCAGUGGAGACCGCCGGGGUCAACUCGGAGGAAGGUGGGGAUGACGUCAAGUCAUCAUGCCCCUUAUGUCCAGGGCUUCACGCAUGCUACAAUGGCUGGUACAGAGAGUGGCGAGCCUGUGAGGGUGAGCGAAUCUCGGAAAGCCGGUCUCAGUUCGGAUUGGGGUCUGCAACUCGACCUCAUGAAGUCGGAGUCGCUAGUAAUCGCAGAUCAGCAACGCUGCGGUGAAUACGUUCCCGGGGCUUGUACACACCGCCCGUCAAGUCAUGAAAGUUGGUAACACCCGAAGCCGGUGGCCUAACCGUUGUGGGGGAGCCGUCGAAGGUGGGACUGGUGAUUAGG
rnacentral:rRNA from 1 species